CCCCUUAAUCUUGAAUUUUCCUUCGAAUGUACCUCCCAUGUUAAUUUUGUUUCAUUUUGAAGAUUUAUGCAUUUUAUAGUUUAUAUAAAGAAAAGAUAGAAUUAUUUAUUCCAGUUUGGUGAUGUUUAGAUUUGUUGUGGAUGUGCAAAUUUUUGUCGUUUUAACUUUGAAUAUUGAUUGCGAAAACAAUAGUAUAAUUUGAUUUGUUUUUAUCUCAAAUUUUAUAAAUUAAAUACAGAUUCCUAUUUUUUCAAUUGUUCAUAACCUAGAAAUAACUCAUUUGCCCAACUUGUCACACAUAUAAUAAUUGGCGAGUUUAUUUAUUAAUAUUAGUUUUUGUGAUAGAUAGUUGUAGUUUAGUGCAUGAAUAGAUAUAAUGAUAAGCAAACAUUCACUUCCCAACGUUUAUAGAAACUAGUUAACAGGUCUCUGAAGACGGUAAUGUAACCGAAACUAGUAAGACAAAUAUAUAAAUAAUCACCAUA